GCACCAGGUACAGCAUUUUCUGUUGAGUGACGUCUUAGAAAGCCGGUUGAGUGGGACGCAGUUUACUGACACGCUGCCCAAGUGGAAGCAGACCCUCAGUGUGGAUUAUGUAAAGGAAAUUCGGUUAAUGAGAAAGACGUGUGCGGCUGAGAGGAGCGAGACAGCAUGCGUCAGCCCUAUCCGCAUGUUUACCUUCUUAGAAAUGACAGUGACCGUUUGCGCACUUCAGACCUCUAGAAAAGAACCAGCCCACAAGUUACAGACCAAGAGACAAUUUGAGUUACAGCCGCCUGAAGUUAUUCCUGACUGGCCUUUUAGUUAUUCACAUACCACAAUGACACAAGAGCACCUGGAAAACUCUGUGACCAUGAGUUUGGAACUGUAGCAUGUGGCAAUGACAUACUGAACGGUCUGUUAUGCUGUUUAAAAACCGAACUUCCACAUCUUAAAAAGUGGAUCUCGUAAACAACAAAAAAAGGAGAUGUACAAAAAGCCUCCUAAAGAUGGAAGAGUGUAAUUGAGUGAAGGAUCUGGAUCCUGUUCCCCACGAGAGCGACAACCCUGAGGGAGGCAUCCAUUUCAAGUGCUGUCAGUGCCUUUAGAGGAGACUGAUGUGUGUGAAGUCAAGCUUCUCGAAGGUGGCCUUGUCCUUUCGACUGAUCAACUGUUCACAACAGAAAGCACACGGAAGAAGCUUGGUGAGAGAUUUUGUCCAACGAUGCAAGUAACAGUCCUUAAAACCACACUGUUGGCAGAUGACCUUCAACCAGUCUCCAGAGGUGUUAUCACAUAGUACAGUUUUUCCCUUAAUAAAUGUUCAUAUCUUGCUUU